CCCUUGAUAGCUCAGUUGGAAGAGCGCUGGACUGUAAUUGUAUAACUGCCCAUCCAUAGGUCGCUGGUUCGAUCCCGGCUCGAGGGA